CACUCAGCCAAACUCGCGGACUGCGGUAGGUCGUGUCACGCGGUGGCGCAACGAUCGCAGCCGUUCCCGCCACACUGACGAACACAUUUUCUUUGAAAUUUCGUGCAAUUGCAAAGAAAAAAGUGAACAAAGCGGGACAUUCGGUGACUUAAGAGUGCUUUGUGAUUGUUGUUUAUACAUGAAUAGACUCUAUUUUUUAUCGAUAUUUUACAAAUUUCGGUAGUAAUAGAGGUUCGAGACGGGAUCGCACUAGUGAAACGAGUACAUCAACGUUUCAAGUAGUGAGGAUUGCGUGAACUUCGCACUGGACCAGUCCAACAGAUAACAUAUCAUCGUGGUGCUCGAAGAUAUCGACAACUUUACUAUACAAUACAAACCAAUUAGAUUUAGUUAACGCCAUAAGAGUAAUGACAAUUAUUCCGUCCUUUAGAUAAUUUUUACAAAACUAUAUUAUAAGGAAAAAUCAAAUGAGCAUAUCUAGGAGUAGUAGAUUAAGAAUAUCCCCAGCAAGCAUGGCGUGCGUGAGCCUGAGGAGUAGUCUGAGGAUACUGUGGACGGCGACCACAGCGCUGGUGUUCCUCACGAGGAGCAGCGCCGCGCCGACCUUCGGUGGAGCAGAUAAGGCGAUGAUGUACUUAGCGCAGUACGGGUACCUAAGCCCCUCUGUGAGGAAUCCUUCGAGCGGGCACAUCAUGGACGAGAGUUCGUGGCGCCGAGCUAUUGCUGAGUUCCAGAGCUUUGCCGGGCUAAACGCGACAGGCGAAUUAGACGAGGAAACAACAAAAGUAAUGUCAUUGCCGAGGUGCGGCGUGCGAGACAAGGUGGGCUUCGGAGAGAGCCGCGCCAAGAGAUACGCGCUGCAGGGCUCAAGAUGGCGCGUCAAGAACCUAACUUACAAGAUCUCUAAGUACCCAUCUAAGCUGAACCGAGCUGAAGUCGACAAUGAACUUGCCAAAGCCUUCUCAGUGUGGUCCGACUACACAGACCUUACCUUUACGCAGAAGCGGUCCGGACAAGUCCACAUUGAAAUCAGGUUCGAGAAGGGAGAGCACGGAGACGGCGACCCCUUCGAUGGUCCUGGUGGCACCCUUGCCCACGCCUACUUCCCCGUAUACGGCGGCGACGCUCACUUCGAUGACGCUGAGAUGUGGUCCAUUAACUCGAGGAGAGGAACCAAUCUUUUCCAGGUCGCAGCUCACGAGUUCGGUCACUCCCUAGGGUUGUCCCACAGCGAUGUUCGUUCAGCUCUGAUGGCUCCCUUCUACCGAGGAUACGACCCUGCCUUCCAACUUGACCAAGAUGACAUCCAAGGCAUUCAGGCUCUGUAUGGUCACAAGACACAGACAGACAUCGGAGGCCUACCCGGCCUGCCCGGAGCGGCCGCCCCACCGUCCGUACCUCGCGCCACCACGCAACAACCCUCAGCUGAAGACCCAGCUCUCUGCGGCGACCCUAAGUUCGACACUAUCUUCAACUCGGCUGACGGUGGCACUUUCAUAUUCAAAGGCGAGCACUACUGGCGUCUGACGGAGGACGGUGUCGCGUCAGGCUACCCGCGUCUGAUCGCACGCGCAUGGCCCGGCCUGCCUGGCAACAUCGACGCUGCCUUCACUUACAAGAACGGCAAGACUUACUUCUUUAAGGGAUCCAAAUACUGGAGGUAUAAUGGACAGAAGAUGGACGGCGAUUAUCCUAAAGAUAUUAGUGAAGGUUUCACCGGUAUCCCAGACAACCUGGACGCUGCUUUAGUCUGGUCAGGCAACGGCAAGAUCUACUUCUACAAAGGCACUAAGUUCUGGCGCUUCGACCCGUCACAACGCCCACCUGUUAAGGCCACAUAUCCUAAACCGCUGUCCAACUGGGAAGGCAUCCCUGAUGGCAUUGACGCAGCCCUGCAAUAUACCAAUGGAUACACGUACUUCUUCAAGGGUGGAUCCUAUUGGCGGUUUAAUGAUAGAACUUUCAGUGUGGACUCAGACAAUCCCGCGUUCCCUCGAUCGACGGCGUUCUGGUGGCUCGGCUGCAGCAGCGCGCCGCGGGGCACCGUGGGAGGUAACGCGCGCCUCUCCGACGCCCCCGUCGCCGAAGACGACGUCGGAGACAUACUGUUCGACGCAGUGGUGAGCGUUCAGUCUUCAGGCGCUAGACUGUAACUUGAGGUUCACUCGUGGCCCCGAGCCGCUUCAUAUAUUAGGAGGGUUUUCACUCCGCCGCGUCUUCACUCAUCCGCAUCUAUGGGUCGGAUUCUGGCGACAACAGCGGGCACAGUGGCGCGAGCUCGCUGACGCCGCUGUCGCUGUCGGCGCUGGCGGCGCCGCUCGUGGCGUUGGUGACGCAGGCGCUGCGCCCGCGCGCCUAGCGCCCGCCCCGCCCCCGGGCCUCGCCCCCCGCCGCGCCGCCGCGGCACUGACUGUGAUGUGUGCAGUGUGCCUGGACGCGUUCGGUAUAUUGUGUAUAGCGAAUGCGCUGCUGUGAUGACGAGUGCGCCUUUUUUAUACUGCGAGAACGAUAAUUUAAUGCGAAGUCAUAGUUUUUAUACUUAAGAUAAAUAGAUGAUGUAAGCUCGUGUGUGAUAUUGACGUAAGCGACAAUUUUAUAUUAAAUAUUUAAAGUGAUCAUA
rnacentral:misc_RNA from 1 species